CCGUAGCUGAUGCUGCCGCGCGGUAUUCGUCAUGGAGCUGGCGCCGCGGAGUUGUCGUAUGCCGCUGCUGCUGCUGCUCCUGGGCCUGAGCACGGGAGCUGUCAUCAGCUGGCCCACAGAAGAGGGCAAGGAAGUAUGGGAUUAUGUGACUGUCCGGAAGGACGCCCACAUGUUCUGGUGGCUCUAUUAUGCCACCAGCCCCAGCAAGAACUUCUCAGAACUGCCCCUGGUCAUGUGGCUUCAGGGUGGUCCAGGUGGUUCCAGCACUGGAUUUGGGAACUUUGAGGAAAUCGGGCCCCUUGACAGAGAUCUCAAACCACGAAGAACUACUUGGCUCCAGUCGGCCAGUCUCCUGUUUGUGGAUAACCCAGUGGGCACUGGGUUCAGUUAUGUGAACAAGAGUGACGCGUACACCAAAGACCUGGCCAUGGUGGCAUCAGACAUGAUGGUUCUCCUGAAGACUUUCUUUGAAUGUCACAAAGAAUUCCAGACGAUUCCAUUCUACAUUUUCUCAGAGUCCUAUGGAGGAAAAAUGGCUGCUGGCAUUGCUCUAGAACUUUAUAAGGCCAUUCAGCAAGGGACCAUCCAGUGCAACUUUGCCGGGGUUGCUUUGGGUGAUUCCUGGAUCUCUCCCAUCGAUUCAGUGCUCUCCUGGGGACCUUACUUGUACAGCAUGUCUCUUCUCGACGACCAAGGUCUGGCAGAGGUGUCUCGGGUUGCAGAACAAGUCCUGGAUGCCAUAAAUAAGAGACUCUACAAAGAGGCCACCGAGCUGUGGGGGAAAGCAGAAAUGGUCAUUGAACAGAACACAGACGGGGUGAACUUCUAUAACAUCUUAACUAAGACGUCUCCCACGUCUACCAUGAAAUCGAGUCUAGAAUUCACCCAGAGCCACAUAGUUUACCUUUUCCAGCGCCACGUGAGACACUUACAGCAGGAUGCCUUAAGUCAGCUCAUGAAUGGUCCCAUCAGAAAGAAACUCAAAAUUAUUCCUGAAGAUUGCUCCUGGGGAGGCCAGGCUGCCAGCGUCUUCCUGAACAUGGAGGGGGACUUCAUGAAACCCGUCAUCAGCAUUGUGGACGAGCUGCUGGAAGCCGGGGUCAACGUGACCGUGUAUAAUGGGCAGCUUGACCUCAUCGUGGACACCAUGGGUCAGGAGGCCUGGGUGCGAAAACUGGAGUGGGCAGAACUGCCCAAAUUCAGUCAGCUGAAGUGGAAGCCCCUGCACAGUGACCCUAAGACUUCAGAAACGUCUGCCUUUGUCAAGUCCCACAAGAACCUGGCUUUCUACUGGAUUCUCAGAGCUGGACACAUGGGAGCUGUGGCUGCUGCUGCCCAGCAUGACAAGAGAGUGUUGUACCAGGUGUCGCAGCCCGGGGAAAGAUCACAAUUCAAAAUCUGAUGUAUGGUUUCUACUGAAUGCAUAUUGCUUUUGCACCAUCUAACGUCGAAAAAUUGUAAGUCAAACCAUUGUAAGUCGUGGACUGUCUGUAUUGGGAACCUUACUUGGGGCCCUUAUUCACUAAUGGCAGAGGCACCUAGAUUUUGUUGUGGUCCCCUGCUGCAGGAUGGACCAAUCACUUUGGUUUUUUUCUUUGUUUGUUUUUGUUUAUUUGUUUUUUUGGACCAACCACUGGUAAGAAGCAAAGUCCAGAGAGACCUAGGGACUCCUUAUUUGAUGGAUUAGUAUUAGUUACCUAUUGCUGCAUAAUAAAUCACCCAGAAAUGUAGUGACUUAGAACAUUAUUAUCUGAUCGUUUCUGUAGGUCAAGUUGGGGUCUCUCCUGGGGCUGCCAUCAAGCUACUAGCCAGAGCUGCAGUCAUCUCAAGGCUCAACUGGGGAAGGAUCUGCUUACAAGCUCGCUCAUGAGAUUGUUGGCAAGACUCAGCUCAUCACAGGCGGUUGGACUGAGGGCCUCUCUCAGUUGUUUGCCAUGUGAAUCUCUCCGCAGGGCAGCGCAUGACGUGGCAAAGUGAGAGAGAAGAAUCAGGGAGAGAAAGUGAGCAAGGUACAGGUCACCGUCCUUUAUAGCCGAAUCCCAGUGUGCUAUCUUAUCACCUUUGCCUAUUCUAUUCUUAAGAAGCAAGUCAGUAUGUCCUGCCCCGUUCAAGUGGAGGGAAUUACACAAGGGCAUGAAUACAGGAAGCAGACAUCGCUGAGAGCCAUUGAGAGACUGUCUACCAGAUGUAGUUCACUGUUGCAGAAGUCUUGGGAGCAACGUCUUCAAUGAUAGCAAGAACAAGAAUUGUAUUUCUCACGAGGAACUGUGCCCCUGACUUAGGGCCAUCUGUUGCAAGACUUGAACCAGAUCAGAUGCGAACCUGAGGGAAGCACCUUGUGGAGUCCAAGGAUGAAGCUAACUUGGCAGACGGCAGAGCCAAGAGACAGAGAGAUAUAGAGAGUCCCAGUGCAAUGGCAUGUUUGAACACUGGCUCGAACAACGCCUUGUGAAAACUAAUAAAGGGAAGCCCUACUAAAAUUGUCAGGAGGCCAGAAAGGGGAGAUCUCAUGCACAUACAAUUCAGAUCCCAACCAGAAGAGAUGUACCUUGCGUCUCCAGCAGGAAGUGACAAUACUUUAUCACCUCCAGAAAGAAGAAAAAAGAUUCUCUUUGCUUGGCAAGAGCUCAGCCAAUGAGAGAGUGUCACGACUCAGCCAAUGAAAAGCCACUCUACUGGGAAACUUCCAGUUUUCCUCUAGUGGACAUUUUGUUUGUAAUAGCCCCUCCCAACUUCCCCUUCUCUUCUAUAAAAGAGUCUCCUCUCCUUUGCUUUACCGGGACUUGCAUG